CCCAGGUGCACAGAGACACCAGUAAACAUGACAGGCAAAGUUCCUACUCUCACGGACCUUAUCUGCUAAUAGAAUAAACGGAUAUCAGCCAAGAAAGGCUGGAGAGGGAUUUGAGGUGAGUUGCCCAACUGGAAAAAAGCGCGAGGAGCCGACAUGGAGCAAAACAUCACUUUAUUGCAGUACAAGUGGGUGGGCCACCCUCAGGUG